UUUCUUUUUAAGGUUAUUUCCAAUCCAGAGGUUUGGAAAUUCGGAAACAAUUCACAAAAUCAUAAUUCUAAUGCAGAUUACCUGAGAGGCACUGAGUAUAUGAGGGAGGAAAAGCAGCCACAAAUCAAGGAGAAUCUUGUGCAGUAGCUGGUCUGCCCACCAGCACUGGGAGGUUACAAAGCCACAAUGGAAUACCUCUGUGAAAUACUUCACUGAAUUACCCUGUUGGGUACCCCUUAUUAAGCAAGCUGCUUCAGAAAGUUCUUUUUUUUUCCAGGGCUGGCAAAGUCUCACAAUUUCAUUAUGCUGGGGGGCUUGGUUGCUGUCUCUUUUAAGAGAUUUGUCUGUCUGGCAAGCGGCCUGAAUUACCUUCCUUGUUGGGCCUUGAUAAGUGUCUCUGAACGAAAGGAAAACAAUUUGUACAACUCUUCCAGUCAAUUGGAGGCUGAACUGUGAGACUGAGCAAAGCUCUCUUCCAUCCCACGGUGCCAAUUUGCCCUUAUCAAGUGCAACAGAGAAAAUGUGGCGGCGCGUUACCCUGAGAAUAGGAAAGCACUCCUAACAAAAUGAGAAAACAGUUAUUGGACCAGUUUUAUCAACCCCGAGCUGGAUCUGCAGCAAUUUUCAUACAAUUAUGCCAGGUGCGGAAGCCAGCCCUAGAGCGGCUAUGGGUCCGAGAGGAAUCUGUGGCCUGCAGGAACCAGACCCACAUCCCAUCUCCUGAUUCCCACUUCUGUGCUCCAUUGCCAGUGGGCUCAACCGAUUAACACAAAGACUGAAUAUCUCAAUACCCUUAACAUUUAGACUCACAUUAACUCUGCACUGCAGACCACAUUUGGAGGCUCGAGGAGUAGCAUUGUUGGGGAAUAUUCAGUUCAUAGGGAAACAAGAAUUUUGGACUUGUAGAGAGAAAUGUCUAAGUAUCAAGUAAUGCUCUAAGGACUUUUUCUUCAUUAACAUUUUGUUAUUAAUUAAUUUUAAAUUAUCAUUCUAUGAUUAAUUUCCAUGCUUUCUUUCCAGUCCCACUGUCCAGCGUCACGUCUUAACUGGUCUCUCUGCCCUCUAUCUUACCCACAUCAAAUUCAUCUUACACACAAUUACCAAAAAUAUCUUUCUAACAUGCUAAUCUGAUCAUGUUACUUUCUUUCUUGAAAACCGCUUCUUCUUUGAUGUGGUGACAUCCUAAAAUCCCAGUUGUACUACAGAACGUCU
rnacentral:lncRNA from 1 species